CAGAGUUUUGAUCCUGGCUCAGAUUGAACGCUGGCGGCAUGCCUUACACAUGCAAGUCGAACGGCAGCGGGGGAAAGCUUGCUUUCCUGCCGGCGAGUGGCGAACGGGUGAGUAAUACAUCGGAACGUGCCCUGUAGUGGGGGAUAACUAGUCGAAAGAUUAGCUAAUACCGCAUACGACCUGAGGGUGAAAGUGGGGGACCGCAAGGCCUCAUGCUAUAGGAGCGGCCGAUGUCUGAUUAGCUAGUUGGUGGGGUAAAGGCCUACCAAGGCGACGAUCAGUAGCUGGUCUGAGAGGACGAUCAGCCACACUGGGACUGAGACACGGCCCAGACUCCUACGGGAGGCAGCAGUGGGGAAUUUUGGACAAUGGGCGAAAGCCUGAUCCAGCAAUGCCGCGUGUGUGAAGAAGGCCUUCGGGUUGUAAAGCACUUUUGUCCGGAAAGAAAUGGCUCUGGUUAAUACCCGGAGUUGAUGACGGUACCGAAGAA
rnacentral:rRNA from 1 species